GGCAGUAUUCCAUAUUUGGUUUAGUUUUGACCCUCUUUGGCAGAGCCUGAGACUCUUAAUCUCAGGGUUGUGGGUUUGAGCCCCAUUGCAGAUGGUUGGGCCA